rnacentral:rRNA from 1 species
CCUAAGUAGCGGCGAGCGAACCGGGAACAGCCCAAACCCGGCAUGUGUUCAAGGCUGCACCCGUUGCAUGCCGGGGGUAGCGGGGCGCUUUUUCGGGCAAGGUGCGGCUUGCCCCGGGAGUUACAAAGGCACCGGUUAGGAGAACAGGCCUGGAAAGGCCGACCAGAGGGGGUAACAGUCCCGUAUCCGAAAGCCGGUACCCUCCCGAUAAGCGUUCCCAAGUACUGCGGGGCACGUGGAAUCCCGUAGGAAUCCAGGAGGACCACCUCCUAAGGCUAAAUACUCCUUGGCGACCGAUAGUGAACCAGUACCGUGAGGGAAAGGUGAAAAGCACCCCGGGAGGGGAGUGAAAGAGAACCUGAAACCGUAUGCCUACAAGCAGUCAGAGCCCUGCACUCAAUGGAGCUUUUGGGAGCUUUUAAGCCAAACCGGGCAGGUGCCCUAAAAGCACCAUCGAGUCUCGAAGGUUCCAUUGAGUGCGGGGUGAUGGCGUACUUUUUGUAGAACGGACCGGCGAGUUGCGCGGGGUAGCGAGGUUAAGGGCGAGAACCCGGAGCCGGAGCGAAAGCGAG